AGGAAGUUAGCUCAUUUGGUAGAGCAGUUGACCCAUAAUCAACGUGUAGCAGGUUCGAUUCCUGCACUUUUCACCA
rnacentral:tRNA from 1 species